rnacentral:rRNA from 1 species
GACGAACGCUGGCGGCGUGCUUAACACAUGCAAGUCGAACGAGAAAAUCCUGGCUUGCCAGGAUGAGUAAAGUGGCGCACGGGUGAGUAACACGUGAGUAAUCUGUCCCUAAGUCAGGAAUAACAUUGCGAAAGCGAUGCUAAUACCUGGUAAGCCCACGACUUCUUCGGUAGAUGUGGGAAAAGGUGGCCUCUGACAUAAGCUAUCAAUUAGGGAUGAGCUCGCGGACCAUUAGUUUGUUGGUAGGGUAAUGGCCUACCAAGGCGAUGAUGGGUAGCUGGCCUGGGAGGGUGGCCAGACAACCGGGAACUGAGACCCGGUCCAGACGCCUACGGGAGGCAGCAGUGGGGAAUCUUGCGCAAUGGGGGAAACCCUGACGCAGCAACGCCGCGUGAGUGACGAAGGCCUUCGGGUCGUAAAGCUCUGGCAGAUGGAAAGAAUUAAUUCGCUGAAAAUAUUGGCGAGUGAUGACGGUACCAUCAGAGUAAGCACCGGCUAACUCCGUGCCAGCCGCCGCCGUAAGAC